GAAUGCUGCAGUUAAAGGGUCCGUAGUUGUUUGUAUGUCUUUUGAGUGAUGUUUAUGGUUUUUAGUGGAUGUAGUUUUAUUGUAGCAGAGGACGAGGGGCACUGGAUAGUUGGGCGAGGGGUGAAAUACGAAGACCCUGACUGGACGAAGAGAAGCGAAGGCUGUGUUCUUGGACUUUUGUGGUGAUGAAGGACGAAGGCUAGAGGAUCGAAAUCGAUUAGAUACCGUUUUAGUUCUAGCAGUAAACGAUGCCGACUGGACGGGACUGUUUUAGUGUUGUCCGAGAGAAAUCUUAAGUAUGUGGGUUCUGGGGAUAGUACGCUCGCAAGGGUGA
rnacentral:rRNA from 1 species